GACGAACGCUGGCGGCGCGCUUAACACAUGCAAGUCGAACGGAAAGGCCUGCUUUCCCUUGUGGAUUGCGGGUACUCGAGUGGCGAACGGGUGAGUAACACGUGAGUGAUCUGCCCCCAACUUGGGUAUAAGCCUGGGAAACUGGGUCUAAUUCCCGAUAGGACUGCAGGGUGGUGCCUGUGGUGGAAAACGAUUUUCUAGUGGUUGGGGAUGAGCUCGCGGCCUAUCAGCUUGUUGGUGGGGUAAUGGCCUACCAAGGCGGCGACGGGUAGCCGGCCUGUGAGGGGGGACGGCCACAUUGGGACUGGGACACGGCCCAGACUCCUGCGGGAGGCAGGAGUGGGGAAUAUUGCACAAUGGGCGGGAGCCUGAUGCAGCGACGCCGCGUGGGGGAUGACGGCCUUCGGGUUGUAAACUCCUUGCGACCGCGAGGAAGCCACCUGGUUGGAAGGGUGGUGACGGUAGUGGUAGAAGAAGCACCGGCUAACUACGUG
rnacentral:rRNA from 1 species